UUCCGGGAUGAAGCGAAGAAAUGCGCGUGGGGGAGAAACUCGAAAGUUCACAUAAAGACGUUGAAGUCGAACUAAAUCACGUGCAGGUACCUCUGUGCUCCAUCCAUGGACACGCAGCAGGAGUCAUGUGACCCGCGAUAGUGGAUGUGACGUUUAUGUGAGCUCCCGAGUGCCUCGAGACCCCACUACAUCCUCACACACGAAUAACCUCAGCCGGAGCGAACCAUCGGGCAGCCCAGCACAGGAAUAAACACUGAAGCUAGCCUACUGCUGCAGUCCCAGCUUGAAUGGAAUUGCCAGACCUUUCUACAAACAGUGUCCCACCACCCUCUGACGAAGGAGGCCGCUGAAUGAUACAGGUGAAAGCCAUGUGCUGGUUUGUGGACCGGGGGUCCAAACAAAAAGCCAACAGCUCCUUCUAGUGGUGUGUCUGCUGUACUACACACCUGUAGUUACAUAACAAACAAGAGCAGCAGCUAUAAUGAGGCCAGUGUUUGUCCAAAGGGGAGAUUUCCUGUCUGUGUUAAGUGUUUAAUGUUUAUCUGGAGACAUGACCUGACAGAACUGAUGGUUUCUCAGAGGCCACGCAGAUCUUUAUCUAACAACUUCUACCUAAAACUUUCUGCUUUUGCUAAGAAUAAACAGCAGAGUCUUUAAAGAAAACUGGAUUAUGCAAUAUUUUCACAGCAGAGAUAUGACAAUGAUUAAACGUUUGCUGUGUGAGAGGGCACACACGGGAGCGAAGUCAUGAAACCAGAAAAAGGUGCUAAAGUUAAAUGAGCGGUUCCUUUCCUGUAGUCUCAUUUCUUUUCAGUUUAUUUCUAGUGAACAAAGAUAUUACUGGACAACUUCAAUGGGUUUAAAUGUGCUUUUAUUGUUAGUAUUCAGCAUCUGCAUUGUUAAAAGGCAUUCAAGGCACAAAGCAAAGAGUCAAAUCACUGGUUUUCAGUCAGGAGGGUAAAAAAGCAGACAGAUUGGAGGUUGCAGAGUUUCCCUGUGUCAGAGUGCAGAUCCAGCUCACUGUCAGUCAGUUUGUCAAAGUUUGGGAGAAAUUCAUCACCUGAAAAUGAUCAUUUUAAUGGUGAGUGACAGACUGGACACUGCAGUGAGUUUUGUUUUUCAUUUGUGUCGUAAAUGAUAAAGCUCAAAACCUUAUUCUACCUUUAAAUAUUAUUGAAGCUUUAAACUUGUUUUGUUUGUUCAAAAAGUUGAUAACAAGACAGAAAAACAUUUGUGACUAAUAGGUGACUAAUUUUAAAAACUCAGGGAUUCUUUGUUUUGACUGCUUAUUUCUGAUAAAGUUUAAAUGUCCACUGACAGAAAAUGACACAAACUUUCCAUCAUCAAACACAUUAUGAAGGUAAUGAAAUGAGGUCCAAACAUCUCAUUAACCAUGAAGCUCAUAUUAAACUCCAUUUGGUAGCUUUUAUGUUAUAAAUCUGUUUUAAUGGAUAUUUUCUGAAUCUAAAAUAUGGCUUAACAUUUUAUUGAUUUGUAAAAUCUGUUCUCAAAUAUGCCAAAUAAAGCACGACUGGAAACCACGAUUCUUAUUUGUUAUGUUAUUUUCAUAAAGUGUAGUUUAUUCUAGCCAUGCAGAGAAGGUGGAGUUACAGAUGUUAAAUGGCCUGUAUUUAUAUAGCGCUUUUAUGGUCCCUAAGGACCCCAAAGCGCUUUACAUAUCCAGUCAUUCACCCAUUCACACACACAUUCAUACACUGGUGAUGGCAAGCUACGU